UUGCGGCCAUAUCAAGUUAAGACACCGGUUCUCAUACGAUCGCCGAAGUUAAGCAAUGUCGAUACCGCUCAGUACCUAGCUGGGUGACCACUUGGGAAUAUCAGGGUGCUGUAAG